GAGUUUGAUCGUGGCUCAGAGCGAACGCUGGCGGCAGGCUUAACACAUGCAAGUCGAGCGGGCGUAGCAAUACGUCAGCGGCAGACGGGUGAGUAACACGUGGGAACGUACCUUUUGGUUCGGAACAACUGAGGGAAACUUCAGCUAAUACCGGAUAAGCCCUAACGGGAAGAUUUAUCGCCGAAAGAUCGGCCCGCGUCUGAUUAGCUAGUUGGUGAGGUAAUGGCUCACCAAGGCGACGAUCAGUAGCUGGUCUGAGAGGAUGAUCAGCCACACUGGGACUGAGACACGGCCCAGACUCCUACGGGAGGCAGCAGUGGGGAAUAUUGGACAAUGGGGCAACCCUGAUCCAGCCAUGCCGCGUGAGUGAUGAAGGCCCUAGGGUUGUAAAGCUCUUUUGUGCGGAAGAUAAUGACGGUACCGCAAGAAUAAGCCCCGACUAACUUCGUGCCAGCCGCCGCCGU
rnacentral:rRNA from 1 species